UACGUAGGGUGCGAGCGUUGCCCGGAUUUAUUGGGCGUAAAGCGUGCGUAGGUGGUUUGUUAAGUCUGCUGUGAAAGCCCCGGGCUCAACCUGGGAAUGGCAGUGGAUACUGGCAAGCUAGAGUGCGGUAGAGGGGUGUGGAAUUCCCGGUGUAGCGGUGAAAUGCGUAGAGAUCGGGAGGAACACCUGUGGCGAAAGCGGCUCACUGGACCAUAACUGACGCUGAUGCACGAAAGCUGGGGGAGCAAACAGG
rnacentral:rRNA from 1 species